GUGAGGAAUAUUCCGCAAUGGGCGAAAGCCUGACGGAGCGACGCCGCGUGGGUGAUGAAGUCUUUCGGGAUGUAAAACCCUUUCGGCUGGGACGAUAAUGACGGUACCAGCAGAAGAAGCCCCGGCUAACUACGUGCCAGCAGCCGCGGUAAUACGUAGGGGGCGAGCGUUGUCCGGAAUUACUGGGCGUAAAGGGCACGUAGGCGGCCUUGUAAGUCAGGUGUUAAAGGUAGAAGCUUAACUUUUACAGUGCAUCUGAUACUGCUUGGCUAGAGAAUGGGAGAGGGAAACGGAAUUUCCGGUGUAGCGGUGAAAUGCGUAGAUAUCGGAAAGAACACCAGUGGCGAAGGCGGUUUCCUGGACCAUUUCUGACGCUGAGGUGCGAAAGCUAGGGGAGCAAACAGGAUUAGAAACCCCGGUAGUCC
rnacentral:rRNA from 1 species